UACGGGGGGGGCAAGCGUUGUUCGGAAUUACUGGGUGUAAAGGGCUCGUAGGUGGCCAACUAAGUCAGACGUGAAAUCCCUCGGCUUAACCGGGGAACUGCGUCUGAUACUGGAUGGCUUGAGUUUGGGAGAGGGACGCGGAAUUCCAGGUGUAGCGGUGAAAUGCGUAGAUAUCUGGAGGAACACCAGCGGCGAAGGCGGCAUCCUGGACUGGUCCUGACGCUCAGGAGCGAAAGCGUGGGGAGCGAUCCGG
rnacentral:rRNA from 1 species